CUAGCCAACAAGCAGACUCCACUCACAUUGCUGCUGCCAGUAUGCGACUUCUGAGUCCGGCCUCUGGUAUACCCCAAAUGCUGCCGUCUGUGCCAAAUCUGAUCCUCCCACUACUUUUUGAAACCCUGUGAAGGUGGAACACUGACAGACAGACACACUCACAGACAGACACACACACUUGCACACACAUACUUUUCUUUAUUGC